CGUGAGACAGUUCGGUCCCUAUCUUCCGUGGGUGUAGGAUACUUGAGAGGAGUUGCCCCUAGUACGAGAGGACCGGGGUGAACGAUCCACUGGUGGACCAGUUGUUAUGCCAAUAGCAGUGCUGGGUAGCUAUGAUCGGACAGGAUAACCGCUGAAGGCAUCUAAGCGGGAAGCCCCCCUCAAAACAAGGUAUCCCUGAGAGCCGAGAUAGACCAUCUCGUCGAUAGGCCAGAGAUGUAAGCGUAGUAAUACGUUCAGUUAA
rnacentral:rRNA from 17 species